CUCGACUUUUCUUUCUUAGAAAGCCUCGAGUUCACUGACGCUGUUCCUCCGCUUCUUCUUAUCAAACGUCAAACGUUCGCAUCUUUCUCUCGCCGAUUAUCCACGGCUGUUUUCUUCCUGGAAAACUGCCCCACUCUUUUGCGAAUUUCUUUCAUUGAAAACCCUAGAGCGGCUAGAAGUUUCUCGACUUUUCCUUCCGUUUCCACUUCUCUGUCACAAAUCUCUGCUUCAAUCGGCUCGCAAAUCUCUGCCGACGGCGGUUUUUCUUGCCUGAGAAACCCCUGAAGGUUUUUUUUUUUUUGAUUCAGCAGCUUCUUGAUUGUUCAAAUCUAUGGUCUAGGUUGUUGGGGAUUUCUGGGUUUUUUUUUUGGCUUUGAGGUUUGGGUUUAUCCCUUUGUGCCGUCUGCAACAACACCACUGCGCUCAAACACACACACUUUCUCUCUCUCUCUCUCUCUCUCUCUCUCUUCUCUUUCUCUCUCUUGCAGUCUCUCCUCCCCCAUACUCAAUCCUCUACUUCUCUGAUUCAUGGUUGGGUGAUUUGUAAAAAGGCUUCGAGUACAAAUUUGAACAUCUUUGAUCUUCCAUAUGACUGCUUUGCGCUGCUUCCGAAAUAUCUCUGUCUCGACUCUCGAUAGACAGAGAGAGAGGGAGAAGUAUGGUUGUCCUAAAAGGGGUAGGAUUGAGCGAUUGGAGACAGGCAAAGAGUGAGGGAGGGAUGGGUGUAGGGCUGAUUUUUUGGUUCUACCCAAAGACCUACUACAAAUCGCACAUUAGUGUUUUAGGCUUUACUCCACACAGCAGACGAUGAGAGUUCCAGAGACUCCAGCCCUUCGCCGCUGUCUCUCCCUUUUGUUGUCGUCAGCUCAUCCGCAACCAUGAGUAAGCAAAUUACAAAGAUACCUCCAGAAGAGUACAAAAUGCCAUUGGUAUGGAUUGACUUGGAAAUGAUUGGUGAGGGUAAUAUUGCUCAAGUAUGUAUGAAAAUGUAUGACUAAAUAACAUUGAUAAUUUCUUCGCUACUCUUGGGAACUAAUUUUGUGUGGAAUUUUGUUGUAUGGACUGUGGAGUAAAUACAUGUUGCAUGAUAUGACUUAUUUGAGUUUAUUAGAGGGUCGUGGGGAUGCCCAUGGAAAGA